rnacentral:lncRNA from 1 species
AGAAAAGAGGAAGGGUAAAUAAACACUUUGUGCUUCCUCAAAAUUGUCACGUAUACUCUCUAAUAAGAUAGAUCAAUAGUAGAAAAGAUGAAUAAUCUCAACAAUUUCUAUUGAAGUUACUAACGUUUCAAAUCUCAUUAAGUUUCUGAGUAAUCCAUAUGCUUUCAAGGCUUAAAUACAUAUUGAGAUGACGAUAAAUAUGAGGAAAAUAACCUUUAUAUGAAUUAUGUUUGUGUAGAAAUCAAUAUGAAUGUGGAAAAGAGUUUAGAACUAAUUGAAUGAUUUUGAUGGCCUGAUGAGUGAAUUGAGAAGAACUAAAACAUGAUAUCUUUCUCAAACCUCCCUCACAAUGUGAGCUCAUAUCGUGAGAGAUAUUGGUUGAUUGGCCAGGACGUGGGCCUUGU